UAGAGUGACAGACAAAACAAGCAAAUGGACACACCAAGACACCAACUGGUUUCUAAAGGUUUCAUCUGGUUACAUCAAAGAUGCAGUAGUUACAUUCAAAAUGUUUAGUGGCUUGCUGAGAUUGAACAUCUUUUCAUAAAUGCAAUAUUAUACAUAUAUAUUUUCUAUUUGUAAAGCUCACUCUAGCUGUGACAAGAUGAUAAAUGCACAGUGGGAGGGUAC
rnacentral:lncRNA from 1 species